rnacentral:rRNA from 1 species
AACGCGAAGAACCUUACCUGGGCUCGAAAUGUAGUGGAAUCCGGCAGAAACGUCGGCGUCUAGCAAUAGACCGCUAUAUAGGUGCUGCAUGGCUGUCGUCAGCUCGUGUCGUGAGAUGUUGGGUUAAGUCCCGCAACGAGCGCAACCCUUAUUACCAGUUGCCAUCAUUCAGUUGGGCACUCCGGUGAGACCGCCUCGGAUAACGGGGAGGAAGGCGGGGAUGACGUCAAGUCCUCAUGGCCUUUAUGUCCAGGGCUACACACGUGCUACAAUGGCCGGUACAAACCGUUGCAAACCCGCGAGGGGGAGCUAAUCGGAGAAAGCCGGCCUCAGUUCGGAUUGCAGUCUGCAACUCGACUGCAUGAAGCUGGAAUCGCUAGUAAUCGCGGAUCAGAACGCCGCGGUGAAUACGUUCCCGGGCCUUGUACACACCGAUAGC